CCCGCUGAACUUAAGCAUAUCAUUAAGCGGAGGAAAAGAAACCAAACGGGAUUCCCCCGGUAACGGCGAGUGAAAAGGGAAGAGCCCAGCGCAAAGGCCCCGGUCCGUCUCGGUCCGGGGCGGUGCUGCGUGAACGGUUUGGCGCACGUCUCGUGCCGCCCGUCUUGCAAGUUCCCUUGAAAAGGACCUUGCCAGAGCGGGUGGCAGCCCCAUAGCAUGGCGGGCGGCGCGGGUCGGCCAGAUCGUGCUAGAGUCAGGUUGCUUGAGAGUGCAACCUAAAGCAGCAGGUAAACUCCUGCUAAGGCUAAAUAUCACUGCUAGACCGAUAGCAAACAAGUACCGUGAGGGAAAGUUGCAAAGAACUUUGAAGAGAGAGUUCAAAAGGACGUGAAACCGCUUGUAGGUAAACGGGUGGAACCACGAAGUCUGACGGGCACGGAGAUUCAAUUCGCUUGCCGGGGAGCGGUGGACGUGGCGGGCCGCAAGGCCGUCGCGCUGCCUCGUCUCCGGCGAGCGGGUGCAUUUCUCGCGGUGCCCAGAAGAUGCCCUGACCCCUUGAGUGGCUGCGGCAGCGGUAACGGUGCGCGUCGAGCAGGUAGCAGGGACUGGUCUCCGGACCGGCCUCCUGUGUUACAGCUCGGCCGCGGGAACUCGCCGCAGCGUGUCGAGGGGGGAAAAGACUCCGCAAGGAGUAGCCGCAGAGGCGGCCGGGUGGUGCGUCGUCCAGGCGAGCACUCGCACUGUUGUGUCACGGGCGGUUCUGCCGUUCGUGCCAGUGGUGCGGGGACGCUUUCGUGGCGGCGCGCCUCUCCGGUCGUGCGCAAUCGAGGGCAAGUAGGUCGGUCAUCCACCCGACCCGUCUUGAAACACGG
rnacentral:rRNA from 1 species